UCCUAUACCGAUUUCACAACUAGCCCUCUGAUUGGUUGAAACCGCAUGCAUAACAGUCUAGACCCCAGACAGAGGACACAGUCAAACAUGGCUUAUCUGAGAUCUAUCCUGCGUUCAGGGAAGAAUGCCGUUCCAGCGGUUUUGCGGCGGGAGUUUCACAGGACGCUGCCGGCUGCGGUGCAGG